AUGUCAAAAACAAACAAAUCCAAGUCUGGGUCUUGCUCUUCUCGCUCAAGAUCUGCAUCCAGAUCUCGGUCUUUGGUUUUCAAAGUCUCGGUCCUGAAGCCGAUCUGUCUCUCGUUCAAGGAAGCGCAGGUUGAGUUCUAGGUCUCGUUCCAGAUCAUAUUCUCCAGCUCAUAACAGAGAAAGGAAUCACCCCAGAGUGUAUCAGAAUCGAGAUUUCCAAGGUCACAACAGAGGCUACAGGAGGCCCUAUUACUUCCGUGGGCAAAACCGAGGCUUUUAUUCAUGGGGGCCAAUAUAACCGAGGUGGCUAUGGAAACUACCGUUCCAGUUGGCAGAACUACCUACAAGCAUACAGCCCUCGUCGGGGCCGUUCUCGAUCCCAGUCCCCAAAGAGAAGGUCCCGGUCACCAUGGUCUAGGAGCCACUCUAGGAACUCUGAUAAGUCAUCCUCUGACAGGUCAAGACGCUUCUCAUCUUCCUGGUCGUCCUCCAACCACAGCAGAGUUGAGUCAUCUAAGCGAAAGUCUACAAAAGAGAAAAAGUCCUCUUCCAAGGAUAGCCGGCCCUCUCAGGCAGCUGGUGAUAACCAGGGAAAUGGGGCUAAGGAGCAGACAUUCUCUGGAGGCGCCUCUCAGGAUAUAAAAGGGUCUGAGAGCUCAAAGCCAUGGCCAGAUGCCACCACCUAUGGCACUGGUUCUGCAUCACGGGCCUCAGUUUCAGAUCUGAGUCCCCGGGAGAGAAGCCCAGCUCUCAAAAGUCCCCUCCAGUCUGUGGUAGUUAGGCAAAGGUCACCACGCCCUAGCCCUGUGCCAAAACCUAGCCCUCCACUUUCUAAUGCAUCCCAGAUGGGCUCAGGUGGUGCUGGAUAUCAAUCUGGAGCACACCAAGGUCAGUUCAACCUCGGCUCUGGGUCUUUGAGUUCAUCCAAAAAGAGUCCUGUGGGUAAGGGUCCACCAGCCACUGGCUCUGCCUACAGUUCAUCUCCGAAAGAAGAGGUCACUGCUUCGGGGGGAGCAGCAUACUCAAAAAGGUAAAUGCAAGAGCAGAAGACAGAGAAUGGAAAGGAUAAGGAGCAGAAACAAACAAAUGCUGAUAAGGAGAAGCUGAAGGAGAAAGGGGGCUUCUCUGAUGCCGAUGUCAAAAUGAAAUCUGAUUCAUUUGCUCCCAAGUUGGACACUGAGAAGCCCUUCCGAGGCAGCCAGUAACCCAAAAGGUAUAAGCCACAGAAUGGCUUUGAGAAAAAGAUGGCUGACUUUCACAAGGAGGAGAUGGAUGAACAAGAUAAGGACAAAAGUAAGGGAAGGAAGGAACCCGAGUUUGAUGAUGAGCCCAAAUUUACGUCUAAAGUCAUGGCUGGUACAAGCCAAACCAGGAGGAAGAGAAGCCAGGCAAGUGGGAGAGCCUGCAUGCAGGGAAGGAAAAGCAGAGGAAAGCAGAGGAGCUGGAGGAGGAACCUCUCACAGAGAGAUCCCGAAAGGAGGAGCGACAGUGGACACAGGGACUUGGUGCCAGAAAAGAAUUUCCGGGUGACUGCAUACAAGGCAGUCCAGGAGAAAAGUUCAUCACCUCCCCCAAGGAAGACCUCUGAGAGCAGUGACAAGCUGGGAAACAAAAGAGACUUUUCCUCAGGGAAGUCUUCCUUUUCCAUUACUCGGGAGGCCCAGGUCAAUGUCUGGAUGGACUCCUUCGAUGAGGAACUUGCACAACCCAGUGACUUACUGGCUCAGGAACGAAGCUUUGUUGAUAUCUAGUCCAUAGCAACAAAACAGAGCAGGAAUUCCAUUCCAUCUUCCAGCGCAUACAGUCAGCUCAGUCUCAGCGUAGCCGUCAGAACUGUUGGCCCAGCACAUAGUGACCAUGGUUCAUCAUGUGAAAGAGCAUCACUUUGGAUCCUCUCGGAUGACAUUACAUGAACGCUUUACUAAAUACCUAAAAAGAGGAAAUGAACAAGAAGCAGCUAAAAAUAAGAAAAGCCCAGAGAUACACAGGAAGAUAGACAUUUCCCCCAGUACAUUCAGAAAGCAUGGUUUGACUCAUGGGGAAUUGAAAAGUCCACGAGAACCUGGCUACAAGGCUGAGGGAAAAUACAAAGAUGAUCUGGUUGAUCUUCGCCUUGAUAUUGAACGUCGUAAAAAACAUAAGGAGAGAGAUUUUAAGCGACGUAAGUCAAGAGAGUCGGUGGAUUCCAGAGACUCCAGCCACUCAAGAGAAACAUCAACUGAAAAGUGAGAAAACCCACAAAGGAUCAAAGAAACAGAAGAAGCCCCGCAGAGCAAGAGACCUGUCUAGGUCCUCCUCCUCCUCCUCCUCCUCCUCCUCCUCCUCCUCCUCCUCUUCCUCCUCCUCCUCCUCCCAGUCUUCUCACUCCUACAAAGCAGAGGAGUACCCUGAGGAAGCAGAGGAGAGGGAGGAGAGCACCUCAGGUUUUGACAAAUCCAGAUUGGGGACCAAAGACUUCAUGGGUCCGAAUGAAAGAGGCGGCAGUGCUCCGGGAACCUUUCAGUUUUGAGCAAGAGGGAGAGGUUGGGGCAGAGGAAACUACUCUGGUAACAACAACAACAACAACAGCAACAAUGAUUUUCAAAAGAGAAGCCGGGAAGAAGAAUGGGAUCCAGAGUAUACACCCAAGAGCAAGAAGUAUUACUUGCAUGAUGACCAGGAAGGCGAGGGCAGCGACAAAUGGAUCAGCCCAGUCUUGGCCGAGGAACCUUUUCCCAGGGCCUGGGCCGGUUCUUGUUCCGGAAAUCCAGUACCAGCCCCAGGCAGGCUCAUGACAAGUUCAGUGGGGAGGAGGGAGAGAUUGAAGAUGAUAAGAGUGAGACAGAGAACAGAGGACAGUUUACAGCCCUCAGCUGAGUAG